UACGGAGGGCGCAAGCGUUAGUCGGAAUUACUGGGCGUAAAGCGCACGCAGGCGGUCUGUCAAGUCGGAUGUGAAAUCCCCGGGCUUAACCUGGGAACUGCAUCCGAAACUGGCAGGCUAGAGUGCUGUAGAGGGGGGUAGAAUUUCAGGUGUAGCGGUGAAAUGCGUAGAGAUCUGGAGGAAUACCGGUGGCGAAGGCGGCCCCCUGGACAAAGACUGACGCUCAGGGGCGAAAGCGUGGGGAGCAAAGAGG
rnacentral:misc_RNA from 1 species